rnacentral:rRNA from 1 species
GAUGAACGCUGGCGGCGUGCCUAAUACAUGCAAGUCGAGCGAAUGAAGAGGAGCUUGCUCCUCUGAUUUAGCGGCGGACGGGUGAGUAACACGUGGGUAAUCUGCCUGUAAGACGGGGAUAACUCCGGGAAACCGGGGCUAAUACCGGAUAACAAAAGAAGAAGCAUUUCUUCUUUUUGAAAGUCGGUUUCGGCUGACGCUUACAGAUGAGCCCGCGGCGCAUUAGCUAGUUGGUGAGGUAACGGCUCACCAAGGCGACGAUGCGUAGCCGACAUAGGCGGGUGACCGGCAACACUGGGACUGAGACACGGCCCAGACUCCUACGGGAGGCAGCAGUAGGGAAUCUUCGGCAAUGGGCGAAAGCCUGACCGAGCAACGCCGCGUGAGCGAUGAAGGCCUUCGGGUCGUAAAGCUCUGUUGUUAGGGAAGAACACGUACGAGAGUAACUGCUCGUACCUUGACGGUACCUAACCAGAAAGCCACGGCUAACUACGUGCCAGCCGCCGCCGUAA